rnacentral:siRNA from 1 species
GGCCAGCACCGCGGUCGAGUGA